CGACCAUGACCUCAAAAAGUGAAGAGAUGGAUAUAUUGGGAGAAUUUUGAUAAUGACGACCAUGUGAGAGCAUUCUGGCUACACCUGUAUCUUCCCAAAGAUUUUUCAGAUGGUGUGGAAUGUGAAGGGUCCUGGAGGUCUGCCAGAGUGGAUCUCCAUCCUGCAGGGGCUGAGGCACCCAGCUGCUACCAGUACUACCACCAUGCAGACAACCUGGAAGGCAUUCAGAGGAGUGAGCAAAAUGGUGAAGAGGCUUGAGGAACAGCAGAGUAAUGCAGUGAUGUUUCAGUUGAAGAACAGAUGUCUCAGAAGAAAUUCAAUUUCGUUCAUGUAUAAGAAAUAUUUUUCUAAAAAAUAAUUAUGCUUACUUCUUUGUACCCUAAAUAGAAAAGCUAAGCCAAUAAAUGAAAGAUAAAGA
rnacentral:lncRNA from 1 species